rnacentral:rRNA from 1 species
UACGUAGGGUGCAAGCGUUGUCCGGAAUUAUUGGGCGUAAAGAGCUCGUAGGCGGUGUGUCGCGUCGGCCGUGAAAACCUGCAGCUUAACUGUGGGCGUGCGGUCGAUACGGGCAUCACUGGAGUUCGGCAGGGGAGACUGGAAUUCCUGGUGUAGCGGUGAAAUGCGCAGAUAUCAGGAGGAACACCGGUGGCGAAGGCGGGUCUCUGGGCCGAUAUUGACGCUGAGGAGCGAAAGCGUGGGGAGCGAACAGG